rnacentral:rRNA from 1 species
CAGGAUUAGAUACCCUGGUAGUCCACGCUGUAAACGAUGAGUGCUGAAUGUGGGGGCGUUUUGUCUCUGUGUUGUACCUAACGCGUUAAGCACUCCGCCUGGGGACUACGGUCGCAAGACUAAAACUCAAAGGAAUUGACGGGGACCCGCACAAGCGGUGGAGCAUGUGGUUUAAUUCAAUGCAACGCGAAAAACCUUACCACUUCUUGACAUGGAAAUUAAAUCCUUCUUAACAGAAGGGCGCAGUUCGGCUGGAUCUCGCACAGGUGCUGCAUGGCUGUCGUCAGCUCGUGUCGUGAGAUGUUGGGUUAAGUCCCGCAACGAGCGUAACCCUCAUCCUUAGUUGCCAGCGGGUUAAGCCGGGCACUUUAAGGAAACUGCCAGUGGUAAACUGGAGGAAGGUGGGGAUGAUGUCAAGUCAGCACGGCCCUUAUGGGGUGGGCUACACACGUGCUACAAUGGUGACUACAAUAGGUUGCAAUGUCGCAAGGCUGAGCUAAUCCGUAAAAGUCAUCUCAGUUCGGAUUGUCCUCUGCAACUCGAGGGCAUGAAGUCGGAAUCGCUAGUAAUCGUGGAUCAGCAUGCCACGGUGAAUACGUUCUCGGGUCUUGUACACACUGCCCGUCACGCCAUGGGAAUUGGCUUAACUC